UUAAGUGGUAAAGGAUGUGGGAUUGCACAGACAACCAGGAUGUUGGCUUAGAAGCAGCCACUCAUUCAAAGAGUGCGUAAUAGCUCACUGGUCGAGUGAUCCUGCGCCGAAGAUUUCCGGGGCUAAAACUUACUACCGAAGCUACGGCAUCAGUAAUGAUGGGUAGGGGAGCUUCCCAUACGGGUUGAAGCAUGACCGUAAGGACAUGUGGACAGUAUGGGAGUGAGAAUGUUGGCAUGAGUAGCGAGAUGUGGGUGAGAAUCCCACAGGCCGUAAACCCAAGGUUUCCAGGGGAAGGUUCGUCCGCCCUGGGUUAGUCGGGACCUAAGCUGAGGCCGAAAGGCGUAGGUGAUGGACAACAGGUUGAUAUUCCUGUACUACCGAUAACCGUUUGAGAGAAGGGAUGACACAGUAGGAUAAGCUAAGCACACUGUUGGUUAUGUGUGCCCAAGCAUUGAGGCAGUCAAAGUAGGCAAAUCCGCUUUGAUAAUGCUGGGAUGUGAUGGGGAGCGAAAUUUAGUAGCGAAGUAGCUGAUUUCACACUGUCAAGAAAAGUCUCUAUCGAGGUUAAAGGUACCCGUACCGCAAACCGACACAGGUGGGUGAGGAGAGUAUCCUAAGGCCAGCGAGAGAACUGUUGUUAAGGAACUCGGCAAAAUGACCCCGUAACUUAGGGAUAAGGGGUGCCACCAUCAGGUGGCCGCAGAGAAUAGGCCCAAGCGACUGUUUACCAAAAACAUAGGUUUCUGCUAAGUCGCAAGACGAUGUAUAGGAGCUGACGCCUGCCCGGUGCUGGAAGGUUAAGGGGAUCUGUUAGAGCAAUCGAAGCAGUGAACUUAAGCCCCAGUAAACGGCGGCCGUAACUAUAACGGUCCUAAGGUAGCGAAAUUCCUUGUCGGGUAAGUUCCGACCCGCACGAAAGGCGUAACGAUUUGGGCACUGUCUCAACAACAGACUCGGUGAAAUUGUAAUUCCGGUGAAGAUGCCGGAUACCUGCGACAGGACGGAAAGACCCCAUGGAGCUUUACUGUAGCUUGACAUUGGGUCUUGGUACUACAUGUACAGGAUAGGUGGGAGGCUUUGAAACCAGGACGCCAGUUUUGGCGGAGCCAUCCUUGGGAUACCACCCUUGUAGUACUGGGACUCUAACCAUAGGCCAUGAAUCUGGUCUUGGGACACUGUCAGGUGGGCAGUUUGACUGGGGCGGUCGCCUCCCAAAAGGUAACGGAGGCGCUCAAAGGUUCUCUCAGUACGGUCGGAAAUCGUACGUAGAGUGUAAAGGCAAAAGAGAGCUUGAUUGCAAGACAUACAGGUCGAGCAAGGAUGAAAAUCGGACUUAGUGAUCCGGUGGUUCUGCGUGGAAGGGCCAUCGCUCAACGGAUAAAAGCUACCCUGGGGAUAACAGGCUUAUCUCCCCCAAGAGUCCACAUCGACGGGGAGGUUUGGCACCUCGAUGUCGGCUCAUCACAUCCUGGGGCUGUAGUAGGUCCCAAGGGUUGGGCUGUUCGCCCAUUAAAGUGGUACGCGAGCUGGGUUCAGAACGUCGUGAGACAGUUCGGUCCCUAUCCGUCGCAGGCGUAGGAAAUUUGAGAAGACCUGUCCUUAGUACGAGAGGACCGGGAUGGACGUACCUCUGGUGUACCAGUUGUUCUGCCAAGGGCAUGGCUGGGUAGCUAUGUACGGAAUGGAUAAGCGCUGAAAGCAUCUAAGCGCGAAGCCAACUUCAAGAUAAGAUUUCCCACCGCAAGGGUAAGACCCCAGAAAGACUAUCUGGUUGA
rnacentral:rRNA from 1 species